UACGGGGGGAGCAAGCGUUGUUCGGAUUUACUGGGCGUAAAGGGCGCGUAGGCGGUCAGCACAAGUCAGUUGUGAAAUCUCCGGGCUCAACCCCGGAGGGUCGACCGAUACUGGCAGGCUAGAGUACAGAAGAGGUAACUGGAAUUCCCGGUGUAGCGGUGAAAUGCGUAGAUAUCAGGAGGAACACCGGUGGCGAAGGCGGGUCUCUGGGCCGAUACUGACGCUGAGGAGCGAAAGCGUGGGGAGCGAACAGG
rnacentral:rRNA from 1 species